UACGUAGGGGGCAAGCGUUGUCCGGAAUCACUGGGCGUAAAGGGCGCGUAGGCGGUCUGUUAAGUCAGUUGUGAAAACUAGGGGCUCAACCCCUAGACUGCAAUUGAUACUGACAGACUUGAGUAUGGAAGAGGAGAGUGGAAUUCCUAGUGUAGCGGUGAAAUGCGUAGAUAUUAGGAGGAACACCAGUGGCGAAGGCGACUCUCUGGUCCAUAACUGACGCUGAGGCGCGAAAGCGUGGGGAGCAAACAGG
rnacentral:rRNA from 1 species